CCGCUAAACAAGACACACACACGCAGACGCGCGGGGUGAGCACUGCUGGAUCAAGACGCAACGGGCCCUGCGCACCUUGCUCAGACCUCUUCACCCGGACGUCACUCUGCGUCCACCUCUACUCAUCCCUUGCGCUGACGCUAGCCAAACGCAAUGCGGCCAGGCGGAAUUAAGCGCUGCCGCAGCGGCUCCUGUUCUCCGCCGCUUCCGACCGCGUAUGCCCCUGACAGAGGCGGCGGCAGUGUGCCGGCUGCUGCAGCCUCUGCGCUGGCUGACGGCAGCGAUCUUUUCGCGUCCUGCGGACUGCUUCGUAAUCGACAGCGCCAUAUCGGUGACAUGAGUGCCGCCGGCCUUCGCGGUGGUGGCGCGGCAUCCGCAGCUGACGUGUAUGUCCUUCAGAAAAACCUACUACACCUGCAGACACUGCAGGAAGUGCUGCGGCGCACCUCGCUGGCUGAGAUGCGCGACCGCGAGGUGGUGGAGUGCCUGCUUGGGACGGAGCAGUGGCUACGCGAGCUGAGCCGGCCGUUGGCGUCGGCGGGCGUCGGCAUCAGCGCCAAUGUUGGCGCAUCAUCAUCCUCGCUCAGUGGGUUUCCGCCGUGCGUGGAGGGCGACGCACUGAGAAGCGCUUACCGUAGUGCCCUCUCGGAACUGCGCCUACUCGUGCUUGGCGUCUUGAACACGAUGCCAUGGUGGCGCGUCGUGGAAACAGUGGCGGGCAACCCACCAGCGGCGCAGACGCGCGGAGCACGCACGGCUAGCGCCGGCGGCGGCGGUCACAGCGGCAGCGAGGCUGGUGCUGCACGGGUAGCAGCGCGCCACGCUAGCGGUCGGGAUCAUUCCGUGGCAGCGCUCCACGUCAUCACGCGUUGGCACGUGCGUCUCCAAAUCGCCUUUGAGCGUGUGUGUCUGGUAUUGAUUGAUCAGUCGCAGCAAACCGUGCGCGGCGUUCUCGAGGUGCUGCUGAAACCCUGUCAACUGCGCCCACCCGUGCGCGAUGGCGCGCGGCGCUCCAUCCCGAGCGACAGCUUCAUUCGCGUCCUGAACGCGGUGGCGACCAAGUACAGUCCCAUCUACGUUGUGGAGCUGCUGGAGGGCUGCAUUGCCGACUUUAUGCCGCGGCGGCGGUGGGCGGAGCGACGCCACCACGUGGCGUGCACCGCUGUGUUGCUGUACUUGGCACUGGAGGGGCAUACCCCAGCGUACCAUCCACGACUCGGCAACAGCCAAAGUUUGCUGCGCGCCGUGGGGCUUCUAAAGUCGCUGCGCUCGCGGCGCGCCGAUGGCAGAGGUGAUCUGAGCGGCUCUCCAUGGUUGCUGCCGCCCGCCACGGGCUCCUACUCCCUGAUCCUCCCAGGAGGCACGUCAGAGGAGAGCGGAACCGACCUGGGAGGGUUGUCCUCUCCGAUGUCGGCGAAGCAGCAGUGCGACCACGCAUCACUGUCGUCGAUGCUUCCGACGGCCGGCGUGCUGCCGUCAGGCUACGUGAGCGCCACGCUCUUGGAGGGGGCAAGGGCUGGCGAGGUGUCGCUGAGACAGCCGACUCUGCCACAUCCAUCCCUACUUGGAGGCAGCUCGUCCGUGAUGGAUACCACCACCACGGCGAGCGGCACAGAACUGAGCGACGGCGGUUGCGCGAGGUCUGCGGUGAGUGACGGUCUCACGGGUGGCCCAUCUGGACGCUACGUCAGAGCCGCCUUUUCCGGCGUUGGUGGAGGCAGCGACAGCUCCACAGCAACAGCAGCAUCGUGCCGAGGGAAGGGCAGAUCUGGUGGAAGGGUAGCUGGACAGCUCAGCAGCGAGGGCGGCGGGAGCACGGGGUUUUUGCCUGGAGCGGCAGUAGCAGCCGGCGCGCCAAGCGUGCUCGACGUAACGGUAGAGCACAACAACAAGCUCCUGUCGUACCGGAACGACAUUUUGCGCGUUCUCCUGAACCGGCUGCUGGAUGUGGAGUUGACGCUAGAACCGAGAGACGCAGAGGAGCAGCAGGGCGGAUGGUCACUUCUCGGGGGCAUGUACGGGCUCGGCGGCGGCGGCGGUCCAUCCUGCGCGAUUUCGUUGAGGUCGCGCCAGGCGUCUGUCCGCGGUAGCCCGCUCGGCUCUCCAGCGACGCCCGGGCUGGGGAGCCCGUCAGCCCUCCUUUCAGCGCCGGCAUCGUUGCUUCCGGGUGGGAAUGGCGGCGGUUCUGCCAGUGCGUUCCCCAGCACCCCGAUCACCGCUGCAGACGCGGAUACGUCUCGACCCGCCGCGACUGCGUCCUCUGACUGCAGUAGUUCUGCGUCUUUCUUGCCCACCGCAUUGCUUCUUCCACGGUCCGACUCGCUCGGCCUCAUUGGUGGCACUGGCCUUGCUGACUGGAGUUCUGCGGCCGCCUCGCCCGGCGCGUCGCUGGCCUCAGUGCAGCCUCUCGAGCGUUUCUUCAAUACACUGUCGCAACCCUAUCUCCGCAUUCUGCGCGACUGCGCAACGCUCGUGUAUGGGCGACUGGCUGAUGACCUCCGUCGCCAGCAGAUCGCCGGCUCAUGCGGAAACGCUGAUUGGUGGAUGGACAUUGUGCCCUUCUAUUUGACCGUCGUAACGCGGGUGGAUCGUCCAGUGUACUUGCUGUACCUGGCCCCGAGUCUGUCAAUGCUCGGGACGGAGGAUGAGCCCGUAGGGCUGCUGCACAAGCUCAUCACUCUCGUUACCAAAGGUAUCAUGCCAGUGGAGCAGCCGCGCAGCAGCAGCAACGCAAGUGGCGCCUUCGCGCGCUCCUCGGCGAUUUGGCAGUCGUCGGCGACGGCAUUCGCCUUCAGCGCUUCGUCGUUGCCUCUCUCGGCGGCUCCCGCGCAGCCGGUGCGUCUGCGCAUGGCGCCCCCGACGGGUGCCAGCCGUCGGGUCGUUACCAUGGAAGAGCGCCUGCGUGCGGCUCGUCACAUCUUUCCACUCUUUCGCUUUCUGCGUAGCCGCAUCGAUGAGGCCAGCGGGGAAGGCGUGCGGCGCCGUUUGCUGAAGUGGACGGCACAGGAGCUACGCCGGCUUGGCGGUUCCUCCGCCUCGGCUAUGGGGAGCAGUGGUGGGCCAGGCGGAAACGUGUAUGCGCGCAGCCGUCCGCUGCCCUCGCGAGAAACGCGACUAGCCCUCAUCACCUUCGCGCAGUGCGCGGCGAUAUCGGAGCUGAUGGGGGUCGAUGUGGUGCCGCAGCUCAGCAGCGCCGGCAAGGCGGCCCGCGACUCUUCUCGGUUUACGUCGAGCACUGCCUACGGAGAUACCUCUGACGGCAUUGCGGCCUCCUUGGAGCCUUUCCUAAACCGAUACACGUUGCAGAGUGAACCGCCGGCAGAUGAUGGGGAUAAUGAGAACAGCAACUGCUCAGCAGCUUCGUCGUCUGCAUCUCCGUCGGAAUCAUCGUCAUCACCAUUGGCAUCGGCGUCUUCCGCGAUGCGUGACGCGGAGCAGGCGAGACUGAAGGCAUCCGGAAAGGUCGUAGCGACUGCUGCGACAGGGGCGCCGUCUGUGGCCCCACGUGGCACGGGGCAGAGCCGGCGCCGUCGUCAUAUCGACCUUCGACAAAUGGAGUUUGAGGGGUUGCUGCAGCCGCAGUUGAUGGCGUACUGCCCAUGGCAGGCGUGGUUGAGUUGAUGUACUCUCGCGAAAAACACACAAGCACACACACACACACACACGCACGCUGGCGAUGUCAUUCUGCUGUGCAGCAGGUGUGCUUUGGGGCCCGUAGGCCAAAAGGAAAACCAACGGUUGCCGAGCGGUCCCUCGAUUUUUUUUUAUUCGAUGCUGUUGUUUUAUGGUGCUCUUCGGUGCGGGUGUGUUGUGUUUUGUUGUGUGUGUGUGUGUGCGUAGGAGUGGGGUGCGCCCCCCCCUUCUCCUCUCCACUUCCUCAACCUCAACGCCACGGCAACAGGUGCCAAAUCGACGGGGCGUCGUUCGGCAACAGAAAGAAGUGUGACUAGCGAAGUAAAAGCUGUGCGCCAACACACACGCACCCGACGGGCAAAUGAUAUGUGCUGCCCCUCUUCCGUUUUUUUUUUCGGGAGAGAGGGGGACAUCCGUGUCUGCGGAAGCAAG
rnacentral:misc_RNA from 1 species